rnacentral:rRNA from 1 species
UACGUAGGGUGCAAGCGUUGUCCGGAAUUACUGGGCGUAAAGAGCUCGUAGGUGGUUUGUCGCGUUGUUCGUGAAAACUCACAGCUUAACUGUGGGCGUGCGGGCGAUACGGGCAGACUGGAGUACUGCAGGGGAGACUGGAAUUCCUGGUGUAGCGGUGGCAUGCGCAGAUAUCAGGAGGAACACCGGUGGCGAAGGCGGGUCUCUGGGCAGUAACUGACGCUGAGGAGCGAAAGCGUGGGGAGCGAACAGG